AUUGAACGCUGGCGGCAGGCCUAACACAUGCAAGUCGGGCGAGUGGCGGACGGGUGAGUAAUGUAUGGGGAUCUGCCUGAUGGCGGGGGAUAACUACUGGAAACGGUAGCUAAUACCGCAUACCAUCAGAUGAACCCAUAUGGGAUUAGCUAGUAGGUGGGGUAACGGCUUACCUAGGCGACGAUCCCUAGCUGGUCUGAGAGGAUGAUCAGCCACACUGGGACUGAGACACGGCCCCGACUCCUACGGGAGGCAGCAGGGGGGAAUAUUGCACAAUGGGCGCAAGCCUGAUGCAGCCAUGCGGCGUGUAUGAAGAAGGCCUUCGGGGUGUAAAGUACUUUCAGUCGGGAGGCGUUACCGACAGAAGAAGCACCGGCUAACUCCGUGCCAGCAGCCGCGGUAAGAC
rnacentral:rRNA from 1 species